CCGUCCCGGCCCUGCCCGCGGCCGGCCGGCUUCAGUCGUCCGCCUUCUUGCGCAGGUUGAGGAGGCAGAGCAGGCAGGCUGAGCACCACAAAAACCAGCCCUGGCCCACAGCACCAGGAGGAUACAUCCAUCAGGUUGACCAUGUUGCGGCAGGAGUCCAGGCUGAACCCAUCCGUUUUCAGGUCUUUGUCUGAGGAGGAAGGAGGAGGUUGAGCACAUGCACCAAAACCCAGCCUGCUGAGCAACCUGGGCUGCAGGGAGCAGGGUUAGGAAGAGUAGUGCUUACGUCUUGCGAUGACUCUGUUCAGAAUAGUCCGAAGCUCAAAGACGUUGAUUUCCAUGUCCUGGAACAGAAGCAGAGUUAGCAUCACCCCUUGCCUGCUCUCCACCCCACUUGUGGCCAUUGUCCCCCUCCUGCCUAAACAUCUCUGCCUUAGUCACAAAACAUGAAGAUGCCAUUACAUUUCUUGUACACUCAGAAGAGUUUUGGUCACAGCUGGGUGCUCUUCCCCAAAUCUGCCCCUGUCAUCACACCAUCCCUGCGGGCAGCUGGGCUGAGCCACAGCAAAGAUGGACUUGUCUGCAGGAUGGGACUGAGUGAGGUGGGGUGGGCUGGAACUCCCACGGCCAGGGGUUCAGUCCUGUCCCCUCCCCUCCCCAGAGGGCUUUCCAGAGCUCGGUGCAGCCGUACCCACCUCCCCUGCCAGCUGCUGGAACAUGUUCUUGAAGCUGUCCUCUAUGUCAUCCUCAGUUAUUUCCUCCUGGGGUGAUGCAAACCAGAAAGAAGAGGUUAGUGGUCAAACCCAGGCUCUGCCCUGCCUUCCAGGCUCAAUAAAUGCCAACUGGAAAGGAA